CUGCUGCCUUCCGUAGGAGUCUGGUCCGUGUCUCAGUACCAGUGUGGGGGACCUUCCUCUCAGAACCCCUAGACAUCGUCGCCUUGGUGGGCCGUUACCCCGCCAACAAGCUAAUGUCACGCAUGCCCAUCCGUCUCCGGAGUCGCCUCCUUUGGCCGAAAGAAGAUGCCUCCCCUCGGCCACAUGCGGUAUUAGGCCGGAUUUCUCCGGGUUAUCCCGCUGAAACGGGCAGGUUGCAUACGCGUUACUCACCCGUGCGCCGGUCGCCGG
rnacentral:rRNA from 1 species